CGGGUGAGUAAUGCGUGACCAACCUGCCCCAUGCUCCAGAAUAGCUCUUGGAAACGGGUGGUAAUGCUGGAUGCUCCAACUUGACGCAUGUCUUGUUGGGAAAGUGUUUAGUGGCAUGGGAUGGGGUCGCGUCCUAUCAGCUUGUAGGCGGGGUAAUGGCCCACCUAGGCUUCGACGGGUAGCCGGCCUGAGAGGGCGGACGGCCACAUUGGGACUGAGAUACGGCCCAGACUCCUACGGGAGGCAGCAGGU
rnacentral:rRNA from 1 species